AUAUGAAGUCAGACCUGCCCAGUGAAAAUUUUUAACGGCCGCGGUACUCUGACCGUGCAAAGGUAGCAUAAUCAUUUGCCUUCUAAUUAGAGGCUAGUAUGAAUGGUUUAUCGAAAAUAUAACUGUCUCUUUAUUUAAUAUAUAAAAUUUUAUCUUUAGGUGAAAAAGCCUUAAUUCUAUUAAUAGACAAGAAGACCCUAUCGAGCUUUAAAAAAUUUAACAAAAUAAUAUUUAUUCAACUAAAAAAUUAAUUGUUAAAAAUUUUGGUUGGGGCAACCGAGGGGCAUACAAAGCCCCCUCUUAUUAUCAAAAACAAACAUGUAUUGAUCCAAAAAAUUUGAUUAAAGAAAAUAGUUACCGUAGGGAUAACAGCAUUAUCUUUUUUAAGAGUUCUUAUCGAAAAAAAGGUUUGUGACCUCGAUGUUGGACCAAAAUAUCCUAAAGAUGCAGAAGUCUUUAAGGGUUGGUCUGUUCGACCAUUAAAAUUUUA
rnacentral:rRNA from 1 species